rnacentral:rRNA from 1 species
GAUGAACGCUGGCGGCGUGCCUAAUACAUGCAAGUCGAGCGGACGGACGAGAAGCUUGCUUCUCUGAUGUUAGCGGCGGACGGGUGAGUAACACGUGGAUAACCUACCUAUAAGACUGGGAUAACUUCGGGAAACCGGAGCUAAUACCGGAUAAUAUUUUGAACCGCAUGGUUCAAAAGUGAAAGACGGUCUUGCUGUCACUUAUAGAUGGAUCCGCGCUGCAUUAGCUAGUUGGUAAGGUAACGGCUUACCAAGGCAACGAUGCAUAGCCGACCUGAGAGGGUGAUCGGCCACACUGGAACGGAGACACGGUCCAGACUCCUACGGGAGGCAGCAGUAGGGAAUCUUCCGCAAUGGGCGAAAGCCUGACGGAGCAACGCCGCGUGAGUGAUGAAGGUCUUCGGAUCGUAAAACUCUGUUAUUAGGGAAGAACAUAUGUGUAAGUAACUGUGCACAUCUUGACGGUACCUAAUCAGAAAGCCACGGCUAACUACGUG